rnacentral:rRNA from 1 species
UGGGGAAUUGUUCACAAUGGGCGCAAGCCUGAUGACGCAACGCCGCGUGGGGGAUGAAGGUCUUCGGAUUGUAAACCCCUGUCGAAUGGGACGAAUGGCCUCUGGGCUAAUCACCGGAGGAAUGACGGUACCGUUAAAGGAAGCCACGGCUAACUCUGUGCCAGCAGCCGCGGUAAUACAGAGGUGGCAAGCGUUGUUCGGAAUUACUGGGCGUAAAGGGCGCGUAGGCGGCCAUCUAAGUCAGACGUGAAAUCCCCCGGCUUAACCUGGGAACUGCGUCUGAUACUGGACGGCUUGAGUAUGGGAGAGGGAUGUAGAAUUCCAGGUGUAGCGGUGAAAUGCGUAGAUAUCUGGAGGAAUACCAGUGGCGAAGGCGACUGACUGGACAUGUAUUGACGCUGAGGUGCGAAAGCGUGGGGAGCAAA